GAUGAACGCUGGCGGCGUGCCUAAUACAUGCAAGUCGAGCGAACGGACGAGAAGCUUGCUCCUCUGACGUUAGCGGCGGACGGGUGAGUAACACGUGGAUAACCUACCUAUAAGACUGGGAUAACUUCGGGAAACCGGAGCUAAUACCGGAUGAUAUUUUGAACCGCAUGGUUCAAAAGUGAAAGACGGUUUUGCUGUCACUUAUAGAUGGAUCCGCGCUGCAUUAGCUAGUUGGUAAGGUAACGGCUUACCAAGGCAACGAUGCAUAGCCGACCUGAGAGGGUGAUCGGCCACACUGGAACUGAGACACGGUCCAGACUCCUACGGGAGGCAGCAGUAGGGAAUCUUCCGCAAUGGGCGAAAGCCUGACGGAGCAACGCCGCGUGAGUGAUGAAGGUCUUCGGAUCGUAAAACUCUGUUAUUAGGGAAGAACAUAUGUGUAAGUAACUGUGCACAUCUUGACGGUACCUAAUCAGAAAGCCACGGCUAACUACGUG
rnacentral:rRNA from 1 species